UUCUUGGAGAGUUUGAUCCUGGCUCAGGACGAACGCUGGCGGCGUGCCUAAUACAUGCAAGUCGAGCGAAUCUUUGGGAGCUUGCUCCCAUUGGUUAGCGGCGGACGGGUGAGUAACACGUGGGCAACCUGCCUGUAAGACUGGGAUAACACCGGGAAACCGGUGCUAAUACCGGAUAAUCCUUUUCCUCUCAUGAGGAAAAGCUGAAAGUCGGUUUCGGCUGAUACUUACAGAUGGGCCCGCGGCGCAUUAGCUAGUUGGUGAGGUA
rnacentral:rRNA from 1 species